rnacentral:rRNA from 1 species
GACGGAGGAUGCAAGCGUUAUCCGGAAUGAUUGGGCGUAAAGCGUCUGCAGGUGGCAGUUCAAGUCUGCUGUCAAAGACCGGGGCUUAACUUCGGAAGGGCAGUGGAAACUGAACAGCUAGAGUAUGGUAGGGGCAGAGGGAAUUCCUGGUGUAGCGGUGAAAUGCGUAGAGAUCAGGAAGAACAUCGGUGGCGAAGGCGACCAUCUGGACGACAACUGACGCUGAGGCGCGAAAGCGUGGGGAGCGAACAGG